CUUUUAUGGAGAGUUUGAUCCUGGCUCAGGACGAACGCUGGCGGCGUGCCUAAUACAUGCAAGUCGAGCGGAGUUAUUCCUUC
rnacentral:rRNA from 1 species